GUUAGAGGUGGAAAUGGUUGCAAAGUUGGUGAUGAUAAUGGAAGCUUGUAAGUAUUCCUCUUUCGUCCACACCUUCGGCAAUUGGAGGACUUCGGCCGUGGACUCUGGCUUUAAAUGGAGCCUUAACCUUGGCAAGGGUGCCUCUAGCCUCAGCAUAGCUUGAACUUCAGCAUGGCUUAAACCUCGGCAUAACUUGAAGCUUCGGCAUAGUUAGCCUCGGUAAUAGAGUUUGAAACUUCGGCCAUGGCAUAGAGCUUGAAGCUUCGGCAUUACUAGCCUCGGCUAUAGAGCUUAAAGCUCCAUCGUUGUUAAUCCAAAAAAAGAAUUGCUGCUAAUCAAAGAUUAAAUGGUGUGUAAAUUCAAUCAAACUUCUCUCUUUUCCCCCAUUUCCCCACACCACCUUUUGCAAUGCCAAACCAACUAUCCCAAAUAAUAACUUUAAAAGAAAAAUAAUUAAAUUAAAUAAUAAACAAAUUGAGGCUUGGGACUGGUUUGAGGUUCGUCGCUUCGGCGAGGUUUCAAGACAAAGGUCGCCUUGAUCUGCUUAGAAAGUUGCCUAGGAAUGGCGUUAGACCUCCUAAGCUUGCUCUUGUUGGAGAGGCUAUGGCCUGAAGAAGCCUAUUUUCUUCAAUAAGGAAGCAGUUUGUUUUCUUUUACGUGGGAUAGCGGUGUAUUCCAAAAUGUAUAUCAUCAUUAUAAUAACUCAAAAAAUUUUGUUAGGGAUUUGACAAAAUUGAGGUUGUUGGCAUCUUGUGUAUAUAGAUGAGAUAUUUCACUGAAAAAGUUUCUUAUCUUGAAGAAAUUUUUAGCAAAAAAUUGUAAGCUGACACUUUUAAGAAACUCCACCUAGCUCUAAACUGAAGUAGUCAAGUAGUUGCAGUUCAUCUGCCAUGCCUAUUAUGCCUGGAAGUACUAUGCUCUUGUUUCGAGUUGAAUGAACAUUGCUUUUGCAA